rnacentral:tRNA from 3 species
GCCCCUGUAGCUCAGUGGAUAGAGCGCCAGCUUGCGGAGCUGAAGGUCGCCCGUUCGAGUCGGGCCAGGGGUACCA